AUUGAACGCUAGCGGCAGGCCUAACACAUGCAAGUCGAACGAGUGGCGGACGGGUGAGUAAUGUAUGGGAAACUGCCCGAUGGAGGGGGAUAACUACUGGAAACGGUAGCUAAUACCGCAUACCAUCGGAUGUGCCCAUAUGGGAUUAGCUAGUAGGUGGGGUAACGGCUCACCAAGGCCACGAUCCCUAGCUGGUCUGAGAGGAUGACCAGCCACACUGGAACUGAGACACGGCCCAGACUCCUACGGGAGGCAGCAGUGGGGAAUAUUGGACAAGGGGCGCAAGCCUGAUGCAGCCAUGCCGCGUGUAUGAAGAAGGCCUUCGGGUUGUAAAGUACUUUUGGCGAGGAGGCGGUACUCGCAGAAGAAGCACCGGCUAACUCCGUGCCAGCAGCCGCGGUAAUAC
rnacentral:rRNA from 1 species